GAGCUAAUGCCGGAUGAGUUAUAUAAGUGCAUGUUUAUAUAGGAAAAGUUGGGGAGACCUGACGCUGAAAGAUGGACUCGCGUCCCAUUAGCUAGUUGGUAGGGUAAUGGCCUACCAAGGCGACGAUGGGUAGCCGGCCUGAGAGGGUGGCCGGCCACACUGGGACUGAGACACGGCCCAGACUCCUACGGGAGGCAGCAGUGGGGAAUUUUGCGCAAUGCUCGUAAGAGUGACGCAGCGACGCCGCGUGAAUGACGAAGGCCUUCGGGUCGUAAAGUUCUUUCGACAGGGAAGAAAAUGCCUAUAAGUAACUGUGUAUGUAUUGACGGUACCUGUAUAAGCAGCCCCGGCUAACUUCGUGCCAGCAGCCGCGGUAAUACGGAGGGGGCGAGCGUUGUUCGGAGUGACUGGGCGUAAAGAGCACGUAGGCGGUGUUGUAAGUCAUUAGUCAAAGACUAGAGCUCAACUUUAGUAAGGCUAGUGAUACUAUAAUACUAGAGUAUCAGAGAGGAUUGCAGAAUUCCUGGUGUAGCGGUGAAAUGCGUAGAUAUCAGGAGGAAUACCGUUAGCGAAGGCGGCAAUCUGGCUGGAAACUGACGCUGAGGUGCGAAAGCGUGGGUAGCAAACAGGAUUAGAUACCCUGGUAGUCCACGCUGUAAACGAUGGAUGCUAGGUGU
rnacentral:rRNA from 1 species